rnacentral:misc_RNA from 1 species
UUGAUUUUAGUUAUUUGUGAACGUACUACGAACAAACAAAAAAAUAUUAUAGUCAAAAAAAAUUAAAUCAAAACUUUUAACAAUGGAUCUCUUGGUUCUCGUAUCGAUGAAGAACGCAGCGAAACGCGAUAUUUCUUGUGAAUUGCAGAAGUGAAUCAUCAGUUUUUGAACGCACAUUGCACUUUGGGGUAUCCCCCAAAGUAUACUUGUUUGAGCGUUGUUUCUCUCUUGGAAUUGCAUUUGCUUUUCUAAAAAAUCGAAUCAAAUUCGUUUGAAACUUCAUUUAUUUCAACCUCAGAUCAAGUAGGAUUACCCGCUGAACUUAAGCAUAUCAAUAAGCGGAGGACGCGUACUUGGUCAUUUAGAGGAAGUAAAAGUCGUAACAAGGUUUCCGUAGGUGAACCUGCGGAAGGAUCAUUAUUGAUUGGUCGAAAGACCUUAUCAGAUUCUACCACCUCUGUGAACCGUUGACCUCCGGGUUAAUAAUCAAACAUCAGUGUAACGAACGUAAGAGUAUCUUAAUUAAACA